AGGCUCCACGGCCCCAGCGCCGCCCUCCCGCCCUCCUGGACUACAAUCACCCGAAGGCCCCGCGCCCUCAGCCCGCGCCCCCUGGGGCACGCCGGGGGUUGUAGUCCCGGCAGGGCAGUGGGUAGAAGGCUGGGCUUUUGUGGGGUUGUGGUGGCUAUGCAUACUGAGCAGCCAGUAAGGACCAUCGCUAUUCCAGAUGGGACACUGCAAUGAAGAGGAGAGGCACAGCCUGCCUCCAUGGAGCUGAUGUUAUUUUAGGGAGGCAGACGGUAAUCAAAGAAACAAGAACUGUUUCUGAGGAGUUAGCAUCCCAGCUGAGGCCUGAAUAAAGGGAAGGACUCAGAAUUUUCCAGCACAGCACAAGAAAAGUUUGCUGAAGAACAAGGAAUGAAUAACUGAAUGGCAGAUGGACAGACAACUGGAUUCUCAUUUACCUUCCAUAUGCACCAUGGCCCUUCAACUCCAUACUCCAGACCCUUGGGAGACCCCUUUUGUGCUUAUUCUCUGAUUAUUCAACCAGUGUUCUAGGCCUCUGGGCUUUCCUGAAUAGACUUUCCUUUCUUCC